AUGUGGUGGUGCUGGCGCUCAAGUUGCUCACAGACCCUGGGAGAGACUAAUUUGUGCAAACCACUGGCAGCUCUGGGCAGAAUGAAGUCGACAGACCUGAACCUGGAGAGCCUCGGACAAGUGAAAUGGCAGAGACUGGCUAUUGUGCCUUUGGAGGGGAUUACUUUGAAUGGUCUGGAAAAGCUGAGAGGACACCAGGUCUGAUCCCUGUCCCCAGCCUACACUGUGAUGUCAUGGUUGGUAUAUUCUUAGUUAUCUCUUUCUUCCCUGGGACUCAUAGCCUACUUUUGCUCCCUUUUAAGUUAAAAACUAAACCUUAAUUAUACAGAGAGAAUCACUAGAUGGGACAUGAUUCGCC
rnacentral:lncRNA from 1 species